GCAUGAUUGAUGUUGUCAAUACAACCACAGAAAAUGAAGAUGGAGUUUAUGAAAGAAUAAAGGAUGAUCAGGUUUAUGAACAAUUAGAUGAACCUGAUCUGCUUGUAGCAAGAGAAAGUGCUGCUGACACAAGUAGCACAAAAUAUAAAAAUACUACUGUGCCUAUUGUUAAAGCCAGACUAAGUAGCACAACAUAUGAGAAUACUACUGCUCCUCUUGGUAAAGAGUCUACUACCUUUCAUGAAACAGAAAAUGAAGAAUGUGUGUAUGAACUAACUGAUACCUCAUAGUAACUUUUUUUGGU